GAGGGUACAGCUCAGUGGUAGAGCGCAUGCUCAGCAUGCACGAGGUCUUGGGUUCAAUCCUCAGUACCUCCA
rfam:Camelus ferus unplaced genomic scaffold scaffold1558, whole genome shotgun sequence.